rfam:Apis mellifera strain DH4 linkage group 12, whole genome shotgun sequence.
GUCAGGAUGGCCGAGCGGUCUAAGGCGCCAGACUCAAGGUUCUUAACCUUCUCAGUUCGAAAACUGAGUUCUGAGCGUUCUGGUCCUCUCUGAGGGCGUGGGUUCGAAUCCCACUUCUGACA